rnacentral:lncRNA from 1 species
CAUGUAGUCGUGUAUUAUCUGUUGACUGUUUGCAAAUGGAUCGUUUUGAUUCUACAUAAGAAUCAUUUUGUUAUUGUGUGUUAGGUAUUCGAGUUGUUCCCACAUCCAGAUAUGGUGAAUAAAGUGUGUAAAGGUACUCGACCUAAGAGAAAUCACAUUGACGACGAAGAUAACCGCGAUGAAAAUCAUAAAAGGAGAUAUAGCAGUUGAGAUCGUUAUUUAACCAGAGAUAAAUACCAUAAGGGUGGCGGUCGCAAAUAUGAAGAAUUAAAAGCUGGUAAUUACUACUCUGCUACUAUUCUGGUGGUACAAUUGUUGGUAACCGGAAAGGUGAUGAUGAAUCCAGAUAUAGUAGUAAAGAUCGUCGCGGAAAAGAGAACAGAUUGAGAAAUGAAGACAAUAAGAAGGAUGAACCAAUUGGCACUCUAUAUUAUUCAGGUGGAAUAGGAAUGGUUGAACGUGAGUGUGGUAAAGAAUUAAGCAGUGAUGAAGAUGAUAAAAUUGGACAUCAUAACUAUUCCACUGAUGCAGCUGAUUCUUAGAAAAAGAAUAUCGAAAGUUACUGGAAUAAGUAUGAUAAGAAAGAGAAAAAACCAAAGAUUAAGUUCAUUAUUAUCGAUUUUGAUUCACAAAGAGUAUCGAGGGCGAUGAGUAAUACCUUGAAUAAGUACAAGCCAAUAAAAAUGCAAGGCAGACCUAUAUUACUCACAGGAGACAACAAUAUGUGAAUGUGUCGAGAGACAAUCCUCCGAUGGGCACUUAAUAAAAUAUGCCCUUGCUCCACCAGGAUGCAGAACUGACAACUUGGCACUUGCCAAUGUAGAUGCUAUAUCAAUAGCUACUCACUGACUGGAGCAAAAUAUUAAGCAAAUUUAUUUUUUAUUUUUUAAGACUAAUUUUGUAAAGAAAAAUAUAAUAUAAUACAUUGUCACAAUCCCUUUUGUGAUAGAUAUAAUUCUAACAAAA